rnacentral:rRNA from 1 species
AGGACGAACGCUGGCGGCGUGCUUAACACAUGCAAGUCGAACGGAAAGGCCCUUCGGGGUACUCGAGUGGCGAACGGGUGAGUAACACGUGGGUGAUCUGCCCUGCACUUUGGGAUAAGCCUGGGAAACUGGGUCUAAUACCGAAUAUGACCAUGGGAUGCAUGUUUCGUGGUGGAAAGCUUUUGCGGUGUGGGAUGGGCCCGCGGCCUAUCAGCUUGUUGGUGGGGUGAUGGCCUACCAAGGCGACGACGGGUAGCCGGCCUGAGAGGGUGUCCGGCCACACUGGGACUGAGAUACGGCCCAGACUCCUACGGGAGGCAGCAGUGGGGAAUAUUGCACAAUGGGCGCAAGCCUGAUGCAGCGACGCCGCGUGGGGGAUGACGGCCUUCGGGUUGUAACCCUUUCAGCACAGACGAAGCGCAAGUGACGGUAUGUGCAGAAGAAGCACCGGCCAACUACGUGCCAGCAGCCGCGGU